rnacentral:rRNA from 1 species
CCUACGGGAGGCAGCAGUCGGGAAUAUUGCGCAAUGGAGGAAACUCUGACGCAGUGAAGCCGCGUGCAGGAAGAAGGUUCUCGGAUUGUAAACUGCUUUUGACAGGGAAGAAAAAAGACAGUACCUGUAGAAUAAGAUCAGGCUAACUACGUGACCGUAGGCGCGGUACUACGCAGGGAGCAAGCUGUUUCCGGAUUUACUGGGUGUAACGGGUGCGUAGACGGGGAAGCAAGUUAGUUGGUAAAUCCCUCGGCUUAAAUGAUGAACUGCAACUAAAACUUCGUCCCGUGAGUACUCGAUGGGAAAGUGGAAUUCCUGGUGUAGCGGUGAAAUGCGUAGAUAUUAGGAGGAACUCCAGUGGCGAAGG